CAGUGGCAGCGCUUUCGUUUCCGAUGCGAAGGGUCGCGGGUUCAAAUCCCGCAGUCC
rnacentral:tRNA from 1 species